GACGGGGCCCGCACAGCGGAGGAACAUGUGGUUUAAUUCGAUGAUACGCGGAGGAACCUUACCUGGGCUUAAAGUGGGGAGUGACAGCUGUCGAAAGAUGGUUUUCUUCGGACACUCUUCAAGGUGCUGCAUGGUUGUCGUCAGCUCGUGCCGUGAGGUGUCGGGUUAAGUCCCAUAACGAGCGCAACCCUUACCGUUAGUUACCAUCAGGUUAAGCUGGGGACUCUAGCGGGACUGCCACCGUAAGGUGAGAGGAAGGUGGGGAUGACGUCAAAUCAGCACGGCCCUUAUGUCCAGGGCUACACACGUGUUACAAUGGCCGGUACAAAGGGCAGCUACUUCGCGAGAAGAUGCUAAUCUCGAAAGCCGGUCUCAGUUCGGAUCGAAGUCUGCAACCCGACUUCGUGAAGCUGGAUUCGCUAGUAAUCGCGCAUCAGCCAUGGCGCGGUGAAUACGUUCCCGGGCCUU
rnacentral:rRNA from 1 species